rnacentral:lncRNA from 1 species
CAUGGGUUUUACAAGCUAGACAAUUACUGAACAGAGUCUAUGAACAGGAUUUGGUGUAGUAUAAUUGAAAAUCUGUUACCCUAUAAAAGAACUACAUUUCCCAGGAGCCUAAUGACUUCCUGUCAUUACGUACUUCCUAUAGACAGAGGAUAUAAUGCCAGGAUGGGGAGAGUCCUGCUCUUCUUGGGCUUGCAGCCAGUGGUGAUGAUGGAACUGAGUGACAUACUGAAGACAAACUAUAUAUAAUGAGGAAAAGAAGCUUCAGAACUAUAUAAAAUCACUGACUCUCAAAUCCCAAUGGAAUUUAUAUCUAUGAAGUAUAAACUUCAUAAUUGUUUUGCAGAAGGAGGAAAGGAUUUCCAGUAACCACAAUGUAAUGUUUAUCUUUUGAACAAAUAGACUUUCUAUGUGUGAACCCAUUCACCAGCUUCUCAACAUAUGAAAUGAGCCAUCUUUCUGCUUUUGUAUUGAGACAACUCUCCCCAGGCAACUCAUGUGUGUAAGUAUUGAGUGUAUCCCCAGUUUAGGGAGGUGCUCUGUAACAAAUGUCUUUCCUAAUUAUCCUCAUAAAUACCCUUUAUAUAAGAUAAUUAAGUCUCACUAAUAAUCAGUAUUGUGGGAGUUUAUGAGAAAAGUAUAAAAAAGUAACCCUUUACUACAUUAUUUCUUGAACCGUGAAGGGAGAGUAGUAGUCAUCUCUCUUCUGGGCAUCCAUUUCACCAAGACAAGGAUGGGAAAUUAGCCUCUGAGAGCUCUAACAUAUUAAUAUUGGUGCCACAGUUUUUAUUGCAUUGAAAGAGUCUGUGAGAACCCAGGAUCACCUCCAUAAUUUUGUGACAAAUCAGAGGAGGAGUUUAUUUGGUGUCAAAAAGCAAUUAAUGAGCAAGUGAGAAAUUUAUUUUUUAGAGAUGGUUGGAAAAUGCCUCAAGCAGAUAGGAUGAUCACUUGCUAGUUAAGUUAUGGAACAAAUUCUCAUUCUGGUAGAGUUUAAAUGAAAUGACCUAAAAAGUACUUUCCAAUUCUGAGCUGUGUGAACCUAUUAGGGUUGUGGAAAAAAAAUAAACUAAAGGGAGCAUUGGUAAAUUGUUUAGCU